rnacentral:rRNA from 1 species
UACGAAAGGUGCAAGCGUUACUCGGAAUCACUGGGCGUAAAGCGCACGUAGGCGGACUCGCAGGUCAAUUGUGAAAUACCUGGGCUCAACCCGGGAACUGCAGUUGAAACCGCUUGUCUUGAAUACCUGAGAGGGUGGGGGAAUACCUGGUGGAGAAGUGAAAUUCGUAGAGAUCAGGUGGAACACCGGAGGCGAAGGCGCCUGCCUGGCAGUGUAUUGACGCUGAGGUGCGAAAGUGCGGGGAGGCAAACAGG